AGAUCGAACCUUGUUGUGUUCGACGACUCUGUGUCUCUGUCUUUUUUUUCUUGUUUUUUUUUUUUUAUUUUCUCCGAAGACAUGCGGAAGGGAAGAGGAGGGGCCGCGUCGGUCGUCACGGCGGCGGCUGCGGCCGCCAACGGAUCCUUUUUAAAGGAGCCUCGGUACCGGGGCGUCAGAAAGAGACCGUGGGGGAGGUUCGCGGCGGAGAUCAGAGACCCGUUGAAGAAAGCCAGGGUUUGGUUGGGAACCUUCGAUUCUGCCGAGGAAGCUGCUCGAGCCUACGACGCCGCCGCUCGGUCUCUCCGAGGUCCCAAGGCCAAAACAAAUUUUCCUCUCACACACCCUUUUUGCUAUCCGCACCCCACCACCAAUCCUCUCUUCUACGCCGGUUUCCACGACAACAACCACCACAACGGCAGCCUUAACAACCCUCAGAGACCCACCUCGAGCGGGAUGAGCAGCACCGUUGAGUCCUUCAGCGGACCGCGCCCUCCCGCCGCCGCCGCCGCCAC
rnacentral:lncRNA from 1 species